rnacentral:rRNA from 1 species
GGGUUGUGAGGUUAAGCGACUAAGCGUACACGGUGGAUGCCCUGGCAGUCAGAGGCGAUGAAGGACGUGCUAAUCUGCGAUAAGCGUCGGUAAGGUGAUAUGAACCGUUAUAACCGGCGAUUUCCGAAUGGGGAAACCCAGUGUGAUUUGUCACACUAUCAUUAACUGAAUCCAUAGGUUAAUGAGGCGAACCGGGGGAACUGAAACAUCUAAGUACCCCGAGGAAAAGAAAUCAACCGAGAUUCCCCCAGUAGCGGCGAGCGAACGGGGAGGAGCCCAGAGCCUGAAUCAGUGUGUGUGUUAGUGGAAGCGUCUGGAAAGGCGCGCGAUACAGGGUGACAGCCCCGUACACAAAAAUGCACAUGCUGUGAGCUCGAUGAGUAGGGCGGGACACGUGGUAUCCUGUCUGAAUAUGGGGGGACCAUCCUCCAAGGCUAAAUACUCCUGACUGACCGAUAGUGAACCAGUACCGUGAGGGAAAGGCGAAAAGAACCCCGGCGAGGGGAGUGAAAAAGAACCUGAAACCGUGUACGUACAAGCAGUGGGAGCACGCUUAGGCGUGUGACUGCGUACCUUUUGUAUAAUGGGUCAGCGACUUAUAUUCUGUAGCAAGGUUAACCGAAUAGGGGAGCCGAAGGGAAACCGAGUCUUAACUGGGCGUUAAGUUGCAGGGUAUAGACCCGAAACCCGGUGAUCUAGCCAUGGGCAGGUUGAAGGUUGGGUAACACUAACUGGAGGACCGAACCGACUAAUGUUGAAAAAUUAGCGGAUGACUUGUGGCUGGGGGUGAAAGGCCAAUCAAACCGGGAGAUAGCUGGUUCUCCCCGAAAGCUAUUUAGGUAGCGCCUCGUGAAUUCAUCUCCGGGGGUAGAGCACUGUUUCGGCAAGGGGGUCAUCCCGACUUACCAACCCGAUGCAAACUGCGAAUACCGGAGAAUGUUAUCACGGGAGACACACGGCGGGUGCUAACGUCCGUCGUGAAGAGGGAAACAACCCAGACCGCCAGCUAAGGUCCCAAAGUCAUGGUUAAGUGGGAAACGAUGUGGGAAGGCCCAGACAGCCAGGAUGUUGGCUUAGAAGCAGCCAUCAUUUAAAGAAAGCGUAAUAGCUCACUGGUCGAGUCGGCCUGCGCGGAAGAUGUAACGGGGCUAAACCAUGCACCGAAGCUGCGGCAGCGACACUAUGUGUUGUUGGGUAGGGGAGCGUUCUGUAAGCCUGUGAAGGUGGCCUGUGAGGGUUGCUGGAGGUAUCAGAAGUGCGAAUGCUGACAUAAGUAACGAUAAAGCGGGUGAAAAGCCCGCUCGCCGGAAGACCAAGGGUUCCUGUCCAACGUUAAUCGGGGCAGGGUGAGUCGACCCCUAAGGCGAGGCCGAAAGGCGUAGUCGAUGGGAAACAGGUUAAUAUUCCUGUACUUGGUGUUACUGCGAAGGGGGGACGGAGAAGGCUAUGUUGGCCGGGCGACGGUUGUCCCGGUUUAAGCGUGUAGGCUGGUUUUCCAGGCAAAUCCGGAAAACUAAGGCUGAGGCGUGAUGACGAGGUACUACGGUGCUGAAGCAACAAAUGCCCUGCUUCCAGGAAAAGCCUCUAAGCAUCAGGUAACAUCAAAUCGUACCCCAAACCGACACAGGUGGUCAGGUAGAGAAUACCAAGGCGCUUGAGAGAACUCGGGUGAAGGAACUAGGCAAAAUGGUGCCGUAACUUCGGGAGAAGGCACGCUGAUAUGUAGGUGAAGCGACUUGCUCGUGGAGCUGAAAUCAGUCGAAGAUACCAGCUGGCUGCAACUGUUUAUUAAAAACACAGCACUGUGCAAACACGAAAGUGGACGUAUACGGUGUGACGCCUGCCCGGUGCCGGAAGGUUAAUUGAUGGGGUUAGCGGUAACGCGAAGCUCUUGAUCGAAGCCCCGGUAAACGGCGGCCGUAACUAUAACGGUCCUAAGGUAGCGAAAUUCCUUGUCGGGUAAGUUCCGACCUGCACGAAUGGCGUAAUGAUGGCCAGGCUGUCUCCACCCGAGACUCAGUGAAAUUGAACUCGCUGUGAAGAUGCAGUGUACCCGCGGCAAGACGGAAAGACCCCGUGAACCUUUACUAUAGCUUGACACUGAACAUUGAGCCUUGAUGUGUAGGAUAGGUGGGAGGCUUUGAAGUGUGGACGCCAGUCUGCAUGGAGCCGACCUUGAAAUACCACCCUUUAAUGUUUGAUGUUCUAACGUUGACCCGUGAUCCGGGUUGCGGACAGUGUCUGGUGGGUAGUUUGACUGGGGCGGUCUCCUCCUAAAGAGUAACGGAGGAGCACGAAGGUUGGCUAAUCCUGGUCGGACAUCAGGAGGUUAGUGCAAUGGCAUAAGCCAGCUUGACUGCGAGCGUGACGGCGCGAGCAGGUGCGAAAGCAGGUCAUAGUGAUCCGGUGGUUCUGAAUGGAAGGGCCAUCGCUCAACGGAUAAAAGGUACUCCGGGGAUAACAGGCUGAUACCGCCCAAGAGUUCAUAUCGACGGCGGUGUUUGGCACCUCGAUGUCGGCUCAUCACAUCCUGGGGCUGAAGUAGGUCCCAAGGGUAUGGCUGUUCGCCAUUUAAAGUGGUACGCGAGCUGGGUUUAGAACGUCGUGAGACAGUUCGGUCCCUAUCUGCCGUGGGCGCUGGAGAACUGAGGGGGGCUGCUCCUAGUACGAGAGGACCGGAGUGGACGCAUCACUGGUGUUCGGGUUGUCAUGCCAAUGGCACUGCCCGGUAGCUAAAUGCGGAAGAGAUAAGUGCUGAAAGCAUCUAAGCACGAAACUUGCCCCGAGAUGAGUUCUCCCUGACUCCCUGAGAGUCCUGAAGGAACGUUGAAGACGACGACGUUGAUAGGCCGGGUGUGUAAGCGCAGCGAUGCGUUGAGCUAACCGGUACUAAUGAACCGUGAGGCUUAACCUUACAACGCCGAAG